GACGAACGCUGGCGGCGUGCUUAACACAUGCAAGUCGAACGGAAAGGCCCUGCUUUUGUGGGGUGCUCGAGUGGCGAACGGGUGAGUAACACGUGAGUAACCUGCCCUUGACUUUGGGAUAACUUCAGGAAACUGGGGCUAAUACCGGAUAGGAGCUCCUGCUGCAUGGUGGGGGUUGGAAAGUUUCGGCGGUUGGGGAUGGACUCGCGGCUUAUCAGCUUGUUGGUGGGGUAGUUGCUUACCAAGGCUUUGACGGGUAGCCGGCCUGAGAGGGUGACCGGCCACAUUGGGACUGAGAUACGGACCAGACUCCUACGGGAGGCAGCAGUGGGGAGUAUUGCACAAUGGGCGGAAGCCUGAUGCAGAAACGCCGCGUGCGGGAUGACGGCCUUCGGGUUGUAAACCGCUUUCGCCUGUGACGAAGCGUGAGUGACGGUAAUGGGUAAAGAAGCACCGGCUAACUACGUG
rnacentral:rRNA from 1 species